AGCAGUAGCCGCGGGAAUACGUAGGUGGCAAGCGUUGUCCGGAAUUAUUGGGCGUAAAGCGCGCGCAGGCGGAUCAGUUAGUCUGUCUUAAAAGUGCGGGGCUCAACCCCGUGAGGGGAUGGAAACUGAAUGCCUUGAGUGCAGGAGAGGAAAGCGGAAUUCCCAGUGUAGCGGCGAAAUGCGUAGAUAUUGGGAGGAACACCAGUGGCGAAGGCGGCUUUCUGGACUGUAACUGACGCUGAGGCUCGAAAGCCAGGGGAGCGAACGGGAUUAGAUACCCCCGUAGUCCCUGUCUCUUAUACC
rnacentral:rRNA from 1 species